AGGAUUCUCCUAGUAACGGCGAGUGAACGGAGAUUAGCCCAUCACCGAAGUCCGGUGCUUUUGCAUUCAGGACAAUGUGGUGUUGAAGCUUGUACCUGGGGCUGCGAACCUGCCCGAAGUCCAACUCCGAUUGUGGCUUUGGAUAUUGCCCAUAGCGGGUGUGAGGCCCGUACGGGCAGGUUCUUGUUGUUGAGCAGCCUUCAGAUGUACUUGCUUUCGAGUCGGAUUGCUUGAGAAUGCAGUCCAAAGUGGGUGGUAAACUCCAUCCAAGGCUAAAUACUGGCACGAGUCCGAUAGUAGACAAGUACCGUGAGGGAAAGUUGAAAAGUACUCUGAAGAGAGAGUAAAUAGUACGUGAAACCGGUUGCAGGGAAGCUGGUGGAGUCAAGCUUCAUGCUUGGGAGAUUUGUGGCUGUAGCUUUGUGAUGUGGGCUCUGGACUGGUCAACUUGGAACAAGUUGGGCGCAUUCGUGUGCAUCAAGUCAUUCUGGGUUGUGUGUUUGUAUUGGUCUAGAUGCUUUGCUACAGUUGCUCUAUCUUCCGCUGCAUAAAUCACGGUCGAUAGCAUUGCCCGCGUGCUGUGUGGUUGUCUAACUGUACUUUGGUUGGCUUCGUGCUUGCUGGGUGCAGGAUGGCAGGUGAUGGCUUCGUGCUUUCAGUGCGUUGUCAUUUAUAGUGGUUUUGACCAGCUGAUGGCCACACAGUAUCGCAGCUAUCGUUGUUGNCUAUUGAGUAGUGUACGCACUCUCGGUAGGUUAGAACCGUGAUUCUGAGGUAGA
rnacentral:rRNA from 2 species